rnacentral:tRNA from 1 species
GGGCGAUUAGCUCAGUGGGAGAGCGCUUCCUUCACACGGAAGAGGUCACAGGUUCGAUCCCUGUAUCGCCCAUCA